rnacentral:rRNA from 1 species
AUUGAACGCUGGCGGCAGGCCUAACACAUGCAAGUCGAGCGGAUGAAGGGAGCUUGCUCCUGGAUUCAGCGGCGGACGGGUGAGUAAUGCCUAGGAAUCUGCCUGGUAGUGGGGGAUAACGUCCGGUAACGGGCGCUAAUACCGCAUACGUCCUGAGGGAGAAAGUGGGGGAUCUUCGGACCUCACGCUAUCAGAUGAGCCUAGGUCGGAUUAGCUAGUUGGUGGGGUAAAGGCCUACCAAGGCGACGAUCCGUAACUGGUCUGAGAGGAUGAUCAGUCACACUGGAACUGAGACACGGUCCAGACUCCUACGGGAGGCAGCAGUGGGGAAUAUUGGGCAAUGGGCGAAAGCCUGAUCCAGCCAUGCCGCGUGUGUGAAGAAGGUCUUCGGAUUGUAAAGCACUUUAAGUUGGGAGGAAGGGCAGUAAGUUAAUACCUUGCUGUUUUGACGUUACCAACAGAAUAAGCACCGGCUAACUUCGUG